rnacentral:rRNA from 1 species
UACAGAGGGUGCAAGCGUUAAUCGGAAUUACUGGGCGUAAAGCGUGCGCAGGCGGUUAUGUAAGACAGAUGUGAAAUCCCCGGGCUCAACCUGGGGAACUGCAUUUGUGACUGCAUAGCUAGAGUACGGUAGAGGGGGAUGGAAUUCCGCGUGUAGCAGUGAAAUGCGUAGAUAUGCGGAGGAACACCGAUGGCGAAGGCAAUCCCCUGGACCUGUACUGACGCUCAUGCACGAAAGGCGUGGGGAGCAAACAGG